UGAGGAAUAUUGGUCAAUGGGCGAGAGCCUGAACCAGCCAGGUCGCGUGAGGGAAGACGGUCCUAUGGAUUGUAAACCUCUUUUGUCGGGGAGCAAGGCCACUCACGAGUGAGUGGAAGGAGAGUACCCGAAGAAAAAGCAUCGGCUAACUCCGUGCC
rnacentral:rRNA from 1 species